AUGGUGAGGCAUUCUGUGCUCACUCAGGCACAGCCUCACUUUGGUUUCAGUUUCAGUUUUGCUGCCAGAACAAUAAAGUCUCCACUGGCUCACAGCAGACAGCUGUGUUUCUGUCGGCUCCCUCUGUAUCUAUCUCUUUUCUCUGCUGGGUCCAAAUAUGUGUAACACGAGCCAACUUGAAGAGGAAACAUACAUUUCCCUUUGACCCUACAAAUGUUGUGACUCCAGCAGUGAAAAAGUUCGGUGGAUAAACUCCAAGAUUGCCUCUCAGACUCUGAGUCUGCCCAGGCCCCUCUUCUUCCCAGGGACUUUGCUUCUCCCUGUGCUACAAGCACACAGAGACCAAGGAACCAAGGAUUCAUCAACUGGCUAGAAAUCAUUAUGAAAACAUUCAGGAAAC